UGCGAGGUAGAGCAGUCAGGCAGCUCGCCAGGUUCAUACCCUGGAGGUCGCAGGUUCAAAUCCUGCCUUCGCUA
rnacentral:tRNA from 2 species